UUUCCAGGAUGCUCUCUAAAUCCCUCACUUCUGAAAUAAUGUUGUCUCUUAGUUUGUGCUUUGGACUGGUUCAUGAGGGAAGAAAAGGGAAGUCUACUUUAAAGUAGUUCUUGUCGUUUCUUUCUUAAAUAUAAUUAGAUGUGCCUCAUUACCUCAUACUGAAGGACUUCUGUAUUUUCUCUGAGCUGUGUUUCCUGAGAUGGUCUAUGAGGCUUGUUGUACAUACUCCUGUUUUAUCAUAUUAGCAGUUGUUUUUCCCCCGACACUUUUGUCCUCUCUUUUCGCUCUCCCCCAGAUAUCUGGAGUUGAUUUUGCUGCUCUCCAGGCCACACCCAGGGAGUCUGAGUGGGACCAGCACUUGACGAUGGGCCUGUUUUCCUUCUGCCCUUUGUGUUUCCCUUUCCUCAACCACACUCGUUUUCCUUGACGUUUUCCUCAACAGUUGCUAACAAGGCUCUGCUCUCUCCCACUCCAAGGUCAAGACUCCUGUUCUCUAUAAAACCCAGAUGAAGAACUGUAUCGUCUAAAACGCUGAGGCGGUCCCUGGAGAACAAGAUGUGGCUACUGUUCUGAGGCAGACCACAGCGCCAGACGGCCGCCGGGAAAACUCAUCAGCUUGGACGCCCAGAGCUCCUAAAAAUUCCCCAGCGUGUGAGAGUCCUGAAGGCCCUGGGUAUAAUCAACAAUGGCAUGAGGUCAGCUGGACGUGUUUCUGCAGGAUGCUUCUCUUAGGACCUCGGAAUGAAUUAAAAUGUAGGAAGAGCAACUGUUUGAAAUGAUGCAUUCAGAGGUGCUGAAACCCAAACCGCCCGCCGCCGCCUGGGCUUCCUGGUUUUUCAGGACGAAGAGGUUGAAUGCUGAGUGUGCCCUUCCUGGGGAUCAAGAGUGAUGAAGCCUGACCAGGAGAUUCCUGAUUCAGUUAUGAAAGACCUCAACUAAGUGAAGAUACCCUGGUGUAGGGGUUCUUAAGCUUUUAAUUGACUCUCAUGAAGAAAUCGUUGUGGACGCUUUCUAAAGAAAAGUUAACAUAGUCCCCUAAAUUUCACAUAUAUUUUCAGUCCACCCAUGGAAUUACUGGGGUCCAUAGACUCUUGGUUAGGAAUUUCUGCUUUAUUGUCUUUUUAUUUGUUGGGGCAUCAGGAUCAUCCAGGUACAGCUAUAGAUGUAGUGAUGAUAAGCAUCUGACUAGAACAUUUUGUUGUGGAUGCUAUCAACUGAUGGUCAAAAAAGAAAAUAAAAUGUAUGAUAUAAUUGAAUCCAAGCUAGAUUUUCUACAACCUCUUUCUUGAGGAGGACACCUUGAUGCAUGUCAUUGUAAUCUUUGUCCAAGCCCAAUGCACAUGCACUGCCCUGAGAAAACAUUGGAGAAAUUCUCUGUCUCUAGUCCCAUGGUAGCUGCAAAUAGCAAAGGGCCACUUUGCUAAGAAUUCCCAAUUCUGGAGAAAUGGAACGUCAAAGUCACGAAUCUCUUAGUUAACAAUGAAAGUUUCCUUAUUUCAAGUUAGAUGAAGAACUCUCUUAGGUACAGAGUUUAUAAGUUAGGGUUUGGAAGAAUUUAAAAUAAAAGAUAAAUAAUGGCAAAUAUACCUUUCAAUAUGAUUUCAUUGUCAUUUGUUAGAAAUUAAGGUUUGGACCCACAAGGGUUUAAUUUUCAGGUUAGACAGAGGAAUGUGUUUCAAGUCUCCCCAAAUACUGACAAAUACUGCCCUUUUGCAUGUUCUUGAUUUAUUUCUCUACUUCCCUACCAUUGCUUUUGCAAAAUUAAUUUGCUACAUAGAAAUAUCCCAAUCAUUUUUCCAUCAAACCAUGGGUAUUCCUGAGGAAGGAAGGGAGGACCUUUUUUUUGUUGUUCUAUUAUGGGUUGAUAAUAACCCAUAGAAAAAAAUUAGUUGAAAGCUAUGUAAAAAACAAUCAAAAUAGUGUCUGUAUUUUCUCUUCUUAGACAGAAAUGACUGAUUUAA